GGUAUUUUUGCACAGUGAGGACCUUCUCUGGCUGUCCGAUUGGAGUCAAGUAUUGUCGCACGGUGAGGACAUUCUCUGGCUGUACAAUUGGAGACCAGUGAUUGUGAGUCUCCUGUAUCACCUGAAACCAUCUCUUCUUUGAUGUUCCACUGCUUUCUACAACUCAACCUCUCUAAAACUUUCCACCAUACCAAGGCCUCCUCCCCAUCCCCCUUGACAGUAUUUCUGUCUGUCUCACAAGUCUGAUAUUUAGUUGUCGUCGUCAACUCUGCCCUCUCUUUCCCUCACCAAAUGUUGUCCCUCAAGCCAGGGCUUUGCAAAUCCAGGUCGCUUGGCCACUAUGGCAACUAAGAUUUCAGUCUGGUCAACUACAUUUUGUUGUGAUCUGCUCUAUAGUUUGAACCCGAUUGGCUGGAUCAGAUCAUGUUAGUGACAAGAGGGAAAUUGCCCUGAUGCAUGCAGCAAUAGACAGUCAUGAUGGAGUACCCAUUGGUGGAAGAAAAAGAUUGGUGGAACAGAGCACUCUGUUCACCUUCACUGGCUCCCAAAUCUCCAACUGUGGAUCUCAGCUCUGACAAACCCGGUCCCAAUAUCAUGGUUGCCUGAUUCUGUCUGUCACUGAAGAGGCAGUAAGAGUAGGUGAUCCUGUCAGCCAGGGUUACCAGUCAAACAACUACCACUGUGCUGGCAGUUCACACUGCAGAAUUAUUGACUGUGCUGUUACUAGAUGUGUGCGUUCAGCUCUGAAACUACCAUGACCUGCUCCAGAACUGUUACACCACAGCCAUAGGAUCUCCCUACCGAUUAUAGUGACAUCAGACCUCUAGCAUUCUUCUUCGAUGUGGGUGCUGUGACUAUUGGAUAUGCUUUUACACACAGAACUGUCAUUAUCCAACCAAUUGUGCCCAUCAGCAUGCACAGGACCUCCCAGCGACUUGCACACUCCAGCAGGAGCUAGGGACACACUGAUUUUGCACUGUUUCGUGUCCUGUAUGCUCCGGUCACACUCUGCCCUUGGAGCUAAUAUCCUGAGGUGCCCAAGCAUUGCUGGUGAGAAUAUGUGGCUGUACCUCUAGUUCCUGGGAAAAGCCAAACAAGAUUGAGAGGAGGUGAUCUACCCAGGUACCUUUUCCAUUGCUUCAUAUCUUUAAGUGCGCCUUUCUCAGAAGGCGAAAUGUGGUAUAUAGUAACCCUGCCUAAUGGUGGUCAUUCCGAGUUGUUCGCUUGUUGCUGAUUUUCGCUAUGCUGCGAUUUGUUGCUUAAUGCACAUGAUACGCAGAGCGCAUGCGCUAAGUUAUUUUACACAAAACUUAGUAGAUUUGCUGGUGUUCGUGCGGCGCUUUUCAGUCGCACUGCUGAUUGGUGAAUGAUUGACAGGAAAGGGGCGUUUCUGGGUGGUAACUGAGCGUUUUCCGGGAGUGUGCUAAAAAAUGCAGGCGUGUCAGGGAAAAACGAGGGAGUGUCUGGAGAAACAGGGGAGUGGCUGGCCGAAACGCAGGGCGUGUUUGUGACGUCAAACCAGGAACUAAACGGACCGAGCUGAUCGCAAUCUAGGAGUAGGUCUGGAGCUACUCAGAAAUGCAAGAAUAUAUUUAGUAGCAAUUCUGCUACUCUUUCGUUCGCUAUUCUGUUAAGCUAAAAUACACUCCCACAGGGCGGCGGCCUAGCGUGUGCAAUGCUGCUAAAAUCAGCUAGCGAGCGAACAACUCGGAAUGACCACCCAUAUCUGU